AUGCCUCCGUGGGUCAACCCGUGGCUGCUCCUGGCCAUGUCGGUGUCAUUCGGGCUGCACUUCCUCAUCCUCUACGUGCCGUUCCUCGUGCAGGUGUUUGGCAUCGUGCCACUCAGCCUUAAAGAGUGGCUCCUGGUGCUCCUUGUCGCGCUCCCGGUCAGGGCACGAGGAUCUAUCUCGCAGGCACCGGAAGGCGGCCAGAAGGAGGCAAGCGGCAGCCUCACCGCUGACACACUCGCCGCUGACGCCGGCGGCGACGACCAGAUCCUGGCCGUCCCCUCCCCUUCCCGUCAGAUCCGUCCAGGAAUUGAACCAUGUCACUCGGAAAUCAGAGAGCAGGCAACAAUAGUUUUAGAUUUUAGUGAUUCUGGUAGGCGCAGCUGA
rnacentral:rRNA from 1 species